UGAAAAUACGCCACCCUUUUUUUCCAAGUGCCCAAACACUUGAAUGAUUCAAUUAAACCGCAUCUUAGAUCUAAUUUGUUUGUGUUUCAAUUUCAAUCCAAUCCAUUAUUAAAUUCAAGUGUUUUGGCGAUUGACUUUUUGGUAUUUUUUGACACCUUAUUUUCAUUCGUGUGGCUCAAAAAUUUCAAGUGUUUUGCUCAUGAAUUUGCCCCACUGUGUUGAACUAUUCAAAGUGAUGAGGAAAACACUUGAAAAUGAUCUUGUUUUGAUUUGAAAUGCAGUUUCGCGACAGCUUCAUUAGACUGCUUUGUUUCCUCAUUUGAAAGUUUUGGCCGUCCGGUGUGUUCGUUUUUCGCAGACCGCGUGAGUUCGCUGCCGCCAUGUUCCAGUCCAGUAAAUUGCCUGCCCGGUUUGUAACCGCGAAGAUGAGCAUCGCCACAAGACUGCGUCCUCGGGCUCGGGAUCCGUAUGGCCAGCGGAAGGGCUUGGUCUCCCAGAUUCCCGGAUAGAAGCCAACUUUUGUGAUAAAGUUCCUUUCCGAACCCAUUUGGAAGGAUGCGAAAGAGCUGCAGAUGCCGAACCAGGAAGCGGUGCCAGUGAGAAGCAAGAUUCGGAUGCAGGGGCCAAGCUAUGCGUCAUUCGGAUGGUCAAGGCACAGUUUGAGUCGAUGGAACCACCGCGGUUCCACCAAAGAGAAUUCCGCAUCAACAAGAAGAUUCUCCAGUGGCCUCCAUCUCCUUCGGCACCGGUGUUUCACUCGCCGACUCUGAGGAACCUCCCAGGAAGCAGUGGUGGUGGCGGGACAACCGGAUGAAAAAAAUUACAAAGUUUUUACACACCAAGUUGUUCUUGAAGUUGUUAGAAAAUAAAAGCAGCCGAAAAAUUUAAUUGCGCAA
rnacentral:lncRNA from 1 species